UCUUUCACUUUCAUGUCGUUUAAUCUCUAAAGGAAAGAGUUAGUUUGUCUUUAUGUAGUCAUGCUGUGAUAAAGAGGCCAAUUUCAUCAUUUUGAAAGCUCACCUAGACCAUCUCUUCCCUGCGAAUCGAUAGCUUAGCCUUUGUUUCCCAUGAUCAUUUUUCCUCCUUUAUUCAAUGGGCCAGUUGCGCUGCUAACAGAAUCAUAUUUUGAUGCGUGGUUCUAGUAGAUCAGCAUUAAGUAAACAGAUCCGUCCCAACAGCAACUCUCUAGGUACCUUGAUUAUUAACCGAGAUAUUUGGCCUUGACACACUUGACUUAUGGCGUCAUCCACUGCGGAAGUGCAUAACAUGAUAUUUCCUACCAUGGUGGAUGACUUUAUAAGUCAAGUUUCUAAAGGCGAGAUACCUCGGUUAAUAUUCAACAUAGAAAUUUGCUGUUUGGCCAGAUCUUAUAAUUUUUAGUUGAUCUGCAAGAAUAAAGUAUCGUUACACGAUUCUGAGACCAGCAAGGCUGCCCCAUCCUUCCACUCCCAUGUUCUAUGUUAUAUUUCCAAUGUUUCAACCCUAAAUUUUUCACAAUUACCUGUUUACUCUGCUCUCAAGAGGUGUCGUCAGCUAAGUUGGCACUUGUUUACAUUCCACUUGCAAGCAAUAGAUGAUAUUAGUAGUGAAGUCAUCAUAGGGAUUCUCCAUUGUAUCAAAUUGGAUCCAUACAAUAACAUUGGCGUAACCUCUUUCAAUGCUACUAUAAUGCGAAUAAAUCGAUAUGUAUAACGCUUUUUUGUGACGUGCUACUAAUAGCGUCUAUUGAGAUGCAAUUGUCCAACAGCUAUAGGGGAUUGACGGCAGCCUGAUCGUGAGCUUAGUCAAUCCUUGAUUUCUGUUGGACUACUACAUUGUAGUUGCUUGCGAAUGUUAUGUAUUCAAGUGCCAACUUAGCUGACGACACCUCUACCUCAAGUUAGCACUAUUACUUCUGAUAGUUUUACACAAGUUUGUCCUUUCUCUUGAAGGCAUAAAGUUAUUUGACCAAUUUCAUCUACUCUCCACCGUCAACCUUCUCUCGUAUUGACUUGUGCAACACUCAAGAAUAUUUAUUUUCGGUUCACAGUGUACUCUCCGUUUUUAAUUGAUCAGAAUGGGUAUGUAGAGACCUUAAAUUAAUUCAAAAAGAACUAAAGCAUUUUGCCAUAUUCUUUGUAUCUUUGUAAACUUUAUUUGAGAGGAGUUAAACUCCUGUCUGAGGUAGCAACUUCAGCAGUAAUCUUACUGCAUCACUCUCCGCACUGUACGACUGGCUAAAUGAUCUGCUAUAGACUGUUUACACAAGUAAAAGUAGUCAGCAAAAAAUCGAUUAGUCUCUUAGUGAGUGGUAUUAUUUUCGGAAGGUUGCCUUUGCAACAAAUUAAAAACCUGCUCAUCAUAUUGCAGGUACAUGAAAAAAAGAAGCCCGAAGAAUUUUGUUGCCCUCUUCCUAAUGUAGAUUUCUCCUUUUUACAGAUUUAAAAACAUAUCAAAAUGGCGCCAGAGCCACUGGAUAUCUUUGAGCAUGAGUUGCUCUUCAAAGCAACGGAUAUCUCUUAGCAUGAGUUGCUCUUCAAAGCAACCAAUUUUACCAAACUGGCCUCCGUAGAUAUGUGUCAGUACCUGGAGGCAUACAUGAGGAAUAUUAGAAACCUCUACCAUAACUCCUCAGCAGUAAAAGAAAUUAAUUUUGCUGAAGCUGCGAUGGUGAUUCAGAAUUCAUCAAUUAUCUUUGCCAAGAAUGUUGACUCAAUUUGGGCAAGAGCUAUGAACAUACGGCUUGCUUUAUCUGCUACCAUGAAAUAAAAUAUUGAUAUGAAACUAGACAAGAAAGAGGACAAAUCAGCAAAGCAAUCAGAUAAACUUGUCCUUCCCACCUCCUCGCAAAUCAAAAAGGCUGCCGAGCAUCCUGUCCAUGAGGAAAUUUUCAAUAAUGACAUGGAUCACUCAAUGAUGGACGGACACAAUCCUCUGUCCCCGCCUCCUCCAACACCACCGCCAACCCCUCCGCCUAUGGACCUUCCCAUGAACGAUUCGCUUGAAAGUUUAAAAGAUUCUCAAGAAGAAACUGAAAAAGAACGCGAGUGACGGCAUAAAAUACGAAAAAAUUCAGAGCGAGAAAACAUUGUCUCCAGAUAAAGUUUUAGCAAAAGCGUGGGAACCCAUCCCUUUGGACAAAGGCAAUCCGAUUCGGCCUUUGGAAUAACAAAGAGUAUACAAGUUAGAUACAAAUGAUCCGUCUAGUUUGAGAAAAAAGAAGAAUAGAGGAAAGACAGACACAGAGUCAGAAACGUUUAUUGUGUCAGAAAUGUUCAUAAAGGGUGAAUACUAUCUUAUCAAUGGCCACGGGUUUGAUCCAUGGGUUCUAGCGGAAUUUCACGCGGUACAGAUGAAAUGACUGGAAGACGCUCCCAACAGAAAGAGAAAAAUAUUAGUGUCAUCACAGAAGGCUCACUCAAUCACUCAAGUGGAGCACAAGCAGUUUUCGGUCAAGGUGCUAAUCCCUCUGCAUAUAUUCUACCUGUGUCUGCAGUUGUACCAUGCCUAAGUUUUUUCCUAUGUCGUCCACUUUCUGCAUUUUUACUUUUGAUACACAACCAAAACACUGUAGCAAGGAAUGUGUUAACAAUAACAACCUACUCUGCUGUGAUAAGGAUAGACGCUGUAUGAACUUCACCAAAUCUCUUCCAAUCAAGAAGUAAUUUUUGAGGAGGUUUCAUUGGAUUUUCUCUAUAACGCGAAGUCAAACACAAGUAGUUCUUGGUCGUGUUCAAGGUGGUAAUUCGUCUACGUAGUGCAGCCUACAAGUGUCGGUGGCUAUAGCAUCCCUAACUUGCUUACUGUGUUUUCUAUUUUUUGAAGACUGAUCUGCCUUCAACUCAGCCAGUCGUCAGAGGACUGUUGAAAUACUGACCCAGAACAUCCAGUUGAAAAGAGGUG